CGGGAGCCUGGGCGGGGAGGUCACUGCUGUUAAGGUCCAGCUUCUUGGUGGUGAGUCAGGGGCUGGUUUUCCUUUUCCGUCAUACCGAGACGUGUUAAGUGUGGUGCGGACGAUGGAAAACCGUAGGAGCUGAGAGAAGUUUGCUGAAGUAUGCCGGCUACAAACUUUCCUGCGGUUAUUUCAAUGUUUAGCUACUGUGUAUGUCUUCCUUACUCAAAGUGUGACUCAGUAUGAACCAUGGAUGCUGGUGAAAAAUGAAGAAUUCCAGACUCAUCUCUGACCUACUGAAUCAGAAUCUACAAUUUAAUGAGAUCCUCAGAGGAAUUUUAGGAAUUAUGGGAACAUAUUUAUUAAAAAUAAAUGGAGAAGAGAUGUAUAAAUCACUGGCAACAGCUGACAUCUACCUACA